UUGUAGUCCUGAUGAUGGAGGAGUCGGACCUGCCCGGUGAAAUUUUUUAACGGCCGCGGUACUCUGACCGUGCAAAGGUAGCAUAAUCAUUUGCCUUAUAAUUGAAGGCUGGUAUGAAUGGUUUGACGAGAAUAUAACUGUCUCUUUACAAUUUGAUAGAAUUUUAUAUUUAGGUGAAAAAGCCUUAAUUUAAUUAAAAGACAAGAAGACCCUAUCGAGCUUAAGAGAAAUUAGCAGAUGUAUAGAUUUUUGGUUAAAAAAUAUAACUGUUAAACAUUUUUGGUUGGGGCGACUGAGGAACAUGAGAAGCUUCCUUUUAUAAUCUUUUAUAUACGAAUUAUUGAUCCACAGUUAGUGAUUAAAGGAAUUAGUUACCGUAGGGAUAACAGCAUAAUCUUUUUUGAGAGUUCUUAUCGAAAAAAGGGGUUUGUGACCUCGAUGUUGGACCAGAAUAUCCUAAAGAUGUAGAAGUCUUUAAGGGUUGGUCUGUUCGACCAUUAAAAUUCUA
rnacentral:rRNA from 1 species